rnacentral:misc_RNA from 1 species
GUGAAGAACGUAGCGAAAUGCGAUAAGUAAUGUGAAUUGCAGAAUUCAGUGAAUCAUCGAGUCUUUGAACGCACAUUGCGCCCCCUGGUAUUCCGGGGGGCAUGCCUGUCCGAGCGUCAUUGCUGCCCUCAAGCACGGCUUGUGUGUUGGGCCCCGUCCUCCGAUCCCGGGGGACGGGCCCGAAAGGCAGCGGCGGCACCGCGUCCGGUCCUCGAGCGUAUGGGGCUUUGUCACCCGCUCUGUAGGCCCGGCCGGCGCUUGCCGAUCAACCCAAAUUUUUAUCCAGGUUGACCUCGGAUCAGGUAGGGAUACCCGCUGAACUUAAGCAUAUCAAUAAGCGGAGGA